rnacentral:rRNA from 1 species
UACGGAGGGAGCAAGCGUUGUUCGGAUUUACUGGGCGUAAAGGGCGUGUAGGCGGCCUUGUAAGUCGGGUGUGAAAUCCUUCGGCUCAACCGGAGACGUGCACUCGAAACUGUAAGGCUUGAGUGCAGGAGAGGAGAGUGGAAUUCCUGGUGUAGCGGUGAAAUGCGUAGAUAUCAGGAAGAACACCAGUGGCGAAGGCGACUCUCUGGUCUGCUACUGACGCUGAGGCGCGAAAGCCAGGGGAGCGAACAGGAUUAGAUACCCCCGUA